UGUUGGUGGUAUUGGUGGGACGUGCGAUAUAUCUGUAUCUACCUCACCUGAAUACUACCCCCGAAAUACCUUUUUGCGGUGCAAUCCGCGUCGGAUGAGUUGCUGCGGCGAUGGAGUUCCCAGCCUUCAAUCUUUAAACAUUACUGCAAUUGGAUGGCUCGUGGAUCGAUCAGGACACAGGUCAUCGGAGCAUGACAUUAUGAAUUUCAUUCCUUUUACCAUUGGAAAACUUAGCUGGACUGAGAGGGGCUUGUUGGACGGUGGGGAGACAGGAGAAAGCUGGUUCAGCACUGGCACUUCUGAUUGUCGGUUCGGGCCCACUUAAUGGGUGAAAGCUGAUGAUUCAACAGGUUGAUGUUUCAGUGUAGAUUUUCUGCUCCACCUGCUGCUAUUUGACCAUCUACGAAUGUGCAAUUGAACUUGAAAACCCAAUUUUUUUACAAUCUAGUCAGGGUUGUCUGCAAGGAAAUAUAUUCAGGAUGUUCGCACAACAAGCUUGAAGUUGGAUGAGUUCUUUCGGCCGUUGACUUGACACGAGGGGCUGGUGGUAUUCUAGAAACGAAAUCGGCAGCCACUUUGAAGGCUAUAUUGUGCGGCAUGGAGGACCGUUUACCUAUUUAACUGUUCUUUUCUCGCUUCGGCACCAACUCGUGGUGGAUGGAUGGACGCCUCGUCUGCAGUUCCGAGUCCAGUGUCAUUGCAGCAUUGCGGGCUACUCAACAUCUGCCCACAUCGCAGAUGACGUUACGAAGCAAUUUAACCUAACAAACUCAUCCACUACGGCUCACAAUGAUUGUUCAGAAGAAUAAUAUUCAACGUUCUCAAGUGGGAAAUUGAAGCGUAGUGGUACACCGCAGCCGACCAUGUUUGUUCCCAAACGACAGAUUAACAGUAAGUUUGUUAAUUUAGCUUGUGUGUUACAAGUUGACAAGGUCGAUAAGACUCCGCUCUGGUCCAAAGCAUGUCUAAUUAUUUUCAACGGUGGUGCACACCUUGUUAGACUUACAUCGAAACUUUCUGCUUGUCUGAAGCUUCAUGAUGAGAGCACAGUGCACGUGCGUUUGCUUUUUAAACUGUCCGCCAUCUGAGCACCACGUAGUUCUCGACAUCCCUUACCGACGUCCACCAACAGUCAUUUAAAUGCAUCCGCCGGGCAUACGGGGCGUCACGAAAUGAUAAUCAGAAUCCAGCCUAGAAAUUUUUGUAGUACAAGCCCGAAUUUUAUACUGUCUAGAGUCGGUAAGCAGAUGUCGGAUCGGUAGGGAGUUGUAGGUAGACCUUAUGAUCUGCCAGGAAUGCAAUAUUGUUAUGAGAUCUCUGUAUGGUCAUGCGAUGACGUCGAAUCCUUGAUAUUAGCGGUGCCGAUUGAUCAGCAUUAUCGAUACUUGCGGUUUCUUUACUUAUCCUCGACAUAUUCUCAAUAUGCGUAUCUCAAAAUGCAGAUUUGAGGCCCAAUGCCACAUUCUGUAUUCUCAAGUUUGUCACAUUCGGUAGAAUAUCUCUCUUCCUAUUACAUACAAUAAACAGUUGACUUGUUUCAACCGACA